rnacentral:rRNA from 1 species
UACGGAGGGUGCAAGCGUUAUCCGGAUUCACUGGGUUUAAAGGGUGCGUAGGUGGGUUGGUAAGUCAGUGGUGAAAUCUCCGUGCUUAACAUGGAAACUGCCAUUGAUACUACUGAUCUUGAAUUUUCAGGAGGUAAGCGGAAUAUGUCAUGUAGCGGUGAAAUGCUUAGAUAUGACAUAGAAACACCAAUUGCGAAGGCAGCUUACUACAGGAAUAUUGACACUGAUGCACGAAAGCGUGGGGAUCAAACAGG